GUGUCGUCUGUGUUACUGCCCAGGGAUGCUGAAUGAUUGACAGAUCCAGACUUUCAGAGUUGAACAAGUGGUGUUCAAAUAAACAGUCACUUUCAAGAAUAAUCCAGAAGCCUGUGUAAAAUGGAGGCUUCAAUUCCUUGCUCAGAUUGAUGUGCAAGAACCCAUGGCACUAUUUCAUGAAAGAGCAAGGACCAGCCUUGGACCCUGCUUGUUCGACAUCAGAGGCAAAAAAACAACCCCAUAUCUCACUGUGAG